CAGGCUGCUGCAACUGUUUAUUAAAAACACAGCACUCUGCAAACACGAAAGUGGACGUAUAGGGUGUGAUGCCUGCCCGGUGCUGGAAGGUUAAUUGAUGGGGUUAGCGUAAGCGAAGCUCUUGAUCGAAGCCCCAGUAAACGGCGGCCGUAACUAUAACGGUCCUAAGGUAGCGAAAUUCCUUGUCGGGUAAGUUCCGACCUGCACGAAUGGCAUAAUGAUGGCAGCGCUGUCUCCAGCAGAGACUCAGUGAAAUCGAAAUCGCAGUGAAGAUGCUGUGUACCCGCGGCUAGACGGUAAGACCCCGUGAACCUUUACUACAGCUUUACAUUGAACUUUGACCUAACUUGUGUAGGAUAGGUGGGAGGCUUUGAAGCAGAUACGCCAGUAUUUGUGGAGCCAACCUUGAAAUACCACCCUGGUUAUGUUGGGGUUCUAACUUAGAUAUAACAGUAUCAAGGACAAUGUAUGGUGGGUAGUUUGACUGGGGCGGUCUCCUCCUAAAGAGUAACGGAGGAGUACGAAGGUGCGCUCAGAACGGUCGGAAAUCGUUCAAAGAGUAUAAAGGCAAAAGCGCGCUUAACUGCGAGACCCACAAGUCGAGCAGGUACGAAAGUAGGUCUUAGUGAUCCGGUGGUUCUGUAUGGAAGGGCCAUCGCUCAACGGAUAAAAGGUACUCUGGGGAUAACAGGCUGAUACCGCCCAAGAGUUCAUAUCGACGGCGGUGUUUGGCACCUCGAUGUCGGCUCAUCUCAUCCUGGGGCUGAAGCAGGUCCCAAGGGUAUGGCUGUUCGCCAUUUAAAGAGGUACGCGAGCUGGGUUUAGAACGUCGUGAGACAGUUCGGUCCCUAUCUACCGUGGGCGUUGGAAAUUUGAGAGGAUCUGCUCCUAGUACGAGAGGACCAGAGUGGACGAACCUCUGGUGUUUCGGUUG
rnacentral:rRNA from 1 species